GUUUGCUGCCGGAAUGUGAAUAAGCUGGAGCUACAGCUUUUUCCUUGGGUUUCCUGAGUUUGGGAAUGGCAGGGCUUUCCAGAGUUUCUUGUGCAUGGAGGUCACUGGUCAGGAGGGAAACACAGCUGAGCCUCUGAGGGGAGAAGUGGCUACUGACAACCGAGAACUGCAACUGUACAUGCUCUGGACGGUCCGAUCACCCAUCAGACGGUCCAGGCCGAGCGCCCUGGAGGUUGGAGCUUGCACAAGAGAUUACCGGACCGACAGUUCCACGGUUUAAUCAGAUCACCGAGUUCUAAAGUCAACAUCGAUGUAAGGCUGCAAUUAAUGAGAGGAGAUUCUUCUAUGCUUGUUUCUCAGAUCUCCAGGCAGAGAUGGCCUCAGGAUGAGUAAUCUAUUCAUGGAGCCGCAGCACGGUUAGUGCUCCACCACGCAGGAUCCAAUAUCCUAGACCUCAGGGCUCCAUCAAACGGCGUGUGAAAACGCUAACUAAAGUCCAAGUGGGAUUGCCAAGGACGAAGACGGUACACUUGGUGGUACUAGCUUACAGCCAUGUGAUUGCGGUGAAAAAACAAAAACUUUUUUACUUGUGACGAGGAGAUUGAUGACGCCAUGACUAGAGGAAGAAGAAGCACCUGUUAUGUUUGUUUUUUCA